GCAAAAAAAAUAGAACAUAAUUACAAGUAAAAACAGAAUUAAAAUCUUUAAAAGCAGAAAAUUAUGAUCGAUCGGCUCUAGGCUCCCAAGAGAUGACUUAAUUCAACCCCCUCCCAUCAUCUCCAUGACUUGAACAACAUUCGAAUAUAGCUACACCAGAUCAGAUCAGUACAAUUCAUAGAAUAAUAAAGAAGAAUUAAUAAAUUAAUCUGAAAGUAAGUUACCUGGCCACAGAAUUGUGAACGAUGGAGCUGAGAUCAUGGGCUUUUCGAUCGAGAAAUGGGAGAAGAAGUGGUCGGAAUGGAGGGAAUUCCGAACGCGAGGAGAAUGAGAAGGAAGGAGGAAAAAAUGAUGAGUGUAGCUAAGUAAGUUUUCCGAGACGGAGUGCCUCCCUUUCAUCACCAUUGCCGUAAAAAGCUUGGAAAAUCGAUCAAAAGAAAUCUAGCCAAUCGAGAGAUGCAUACAUACGAGAUAUGUAUCAUAAAUAAAUUAUAUUAUUUUUAAUUUUUUUUUAAAACAUGUAUUUUAUUAAGUAUAUGUGAUUGUGAUCAAUAA
rnacentral:lncRNA from 1 species